GAUGAACGCUGACAGAAUGCUUAACACAUGCAAGUCAACUUGAACUUCGGUUUGGGUGGCGGACGGGUGAGUAACGCGUAAAGAACUUGCCUCACAGACAGGGACAACAUUUGGAAACGAAUGCUAAUACCUGAUAUUAUGAUUAUAUGGCAUCGUAUAAUUAUGAAAGCUAUAUGCGCUGUGAGAGAGCUUUGCGUCCCAUUAGCUAGUUAGAGAGGUAACGGCUCACCAAGGCGAUGAUGGGUAGCCGGCCUGAGAGGGUGAUCGGCCACAAGGGGACUGAGACACGGCCCUUACUCCUACGGGAGGCAGCAGUGGGGAAUAUUGGACAAUGGACCAAGAGUCUGAUCCAGCAAUUCUGUGUGCACGAUGAAGUUUUUCGGAAUGUAAAGUGCUUUCAGUUGGGAAGAAAAAAAUGACGGUACCAACAGAAGAAGUGACGGCUAAAUACGUG
rnacentral:rRNA from 1 species